AAACAUUAAAUCAUUAUUUAUUCUCUUGUUCUAACUAACAUCAAAAUCUUGAAAUGAAUAAUGAUUCCUACUUAUAAUUUAUUAAUAAAUUUUGUGAUUAAUUGUUAAUUAAUGACAAUCACAAAUCUUUAAAUAAAUAUGUGUCAGUAUAUAUUUAUUGGUAAAAAUUGUGAUUGGAUUUUUUUUUUCUUCCUUAUUUCUCUUUGUCUCAAAUCCACACCAUCACUAUGUGUCAAUUACUAUCAUUUCCAACUCAUCAUCUUCGUUUCUAGUAUCUUUUUAUUUUUAUUUUUUUCUCAUAUGCCUGUUUUAACUUUGGUAACCAUCAUCGCACAUUUGCAUAACUGUUGCACUUUCACAUUGUCACAAAAUUGUUACGCUUUUACUAUCCCCACCAACUUUAACCUCCUCU
rnacentral:lncRNA from 1 species